UGGUCGGGGAGGGUGGGGGGUCUAGCCAGCCCCUGUAACCCGCAUGGCUUAAUGCGGGCACCAGUAACUCCCAUACCAUAAUACCUGUUACCUCCAGAUCCUAGCCUAACGAUGAGUGCCGCCCGAUGGGGCGAGAUAGUUGCGGGUCUUCCCUCUGGAGGGAGGGAAGAUACCGCAUUGACCGGGGGAAUCGGCCAGGUCCGGAAGGGAGCAACCGUGCCCGGCUAUCCGCGUUCAUCGGUCACCGGCAUGAGAAGGGCUAGGGAAAGUCUGGGGUGAUAAGGGUUAUGGUAUGGGAGAGCCGACCG
rnacentral:SRP_RNA from 1 species